UACGUAUGGGGCUAGCGUUGUCCGGAUUUAUUGGGCGUAAAGAGCGUGUAGGCGGCCAUGUAGGUCCGGUGUGAAAACUCGAGGCUUAACCUCGAGAUGUCAUCGGAAACCAUUUGGCUAGAGUCCGGAAGAGGAGAGUGGAAUUCCUGGUGUAGCGGUGAAAUGCGCAGAUAUCAGGAAGAACACCCGUGGCGAAGGCGGCUCUCUGGGACGGUACUGACGCUGAGACGCGAAAGCGUGGGGAGCGAACAGG
rnacentral:rRNA from 1 species